GUGAGGAAUAUUGGGCAAUGCCCGCAAGGGUGACCCAGCAACGCCGCGUGGAGGAUGAAGGCCGUAAGGUUGUAAACUCCUUUUGAAGGGGACGAAAAAACAGAUAGUCUCUGUAUUGACUGUACCCUUAGAAGAAGCCCCGGCUAACUACGUGCCAGCAGCCGCGGUAAUACGUAGGGGGCAAGCGUUGUCCGGAUUUACUGGGUGUAAAGGGCGCGUAGGCGGGUUUGUUAGUCAGAGGUGAAAUCCUGCAGCUUAACUGUAGAACUGCCUCUGAUACUGCAAAUCUUGAGUUCAGAAGAGAGAAGCGGAAUUCCAGGUGUAGUGGUGAAAUACGUAGAUAUCUGGAAGAACACCAGUGGCGAAGGCGGCUUCUUGGUCUGUAACUGACGCUGAGGCGCGAAAGCGUGGGGAGCAAACAGGAUUAGAAACCCUAGUAGUCC
rnacentral:rRNA from 1 species